rnacentral:lncRNA from 1 species
CUUUUUUGGCUGAUUUUAAUGCCCCUCUGUGGUCUUAUAAGGCCAUCCCUGGUUUAAAAAACUAAUGCGUUUAUACAUGAUUUACCUACACAUGUAAACUGUGUUCCAGAUUAUGUCCAAUCCAGCGUCAGACAAAAUCUACCAGAUCGUCCACACUUAGUAUUUUUCCUACUUAUGAUGCAUUUUAACCUGUUGAAAACUACUCAUUACUUUUUUUUUUUCUUUUUUGAUUUGCACUCUUAGGAUUUUCUUCCUGUCUAUGUUCCCUGAAUCCAGACUCUAAGAUUUCAGUAUAUAUUUUACACUAUAAUAUGUUCUAGACUCUAAAAUUUCAGUAUAUAUUUUACACUAUAAUAUGUAUUACUUAAUAUAUAUUAU